CUGCUGUAUGAAUUGGGGAAGGCUCAAUAUCUCCUGACACAAGAGGAGCUUAGAAAGUGGCAGUAAUUAUACACACUGAGUAAAACCACAAUGCCUUUACGAAACGUUUUUUCCUGUUCUCUUAUUUAUUGACAGAUUUUUUUUAAUUACAACACAAUGAAACAAUGGUAAGUACAUAAGAUGCAAUAGUAUAAAAAAGCCAUUUUAACCCUUCCCUUGGUUAAGACACUUACAGCAGACAAGAACUGCCCCACCCAAACCCCCCUCCUCAAAUGAAAACAAAAAUAAAUAUAAAUUAAUAAAUAUAAAACAAAUCACUGCACAGCCCUUAACUCUUUGAUUGCCAUGGCAAGAACCAUAACAAUUCUAGCAUGUAACUUUUUUUUUUGUGGUUAAAGGUUGCCGCAGCAGUCAAAGGGUUAUAGUGUUGUAAACAUAAGUACUUUGUUGAAAAUGUUCAGUUAUGUUAAUGGUUUACAGCAAUGAGAUUAAUAUCAUGACCCCUUGACCUUUAAUGACGCAAUGUUAUAAGGAGUUAAAGAGAUAAUAGCUUGGUGAGCUGUUACAUAGAGUAAUUAACUCAUUUUAUUUAACAAUGCACAAUGAGGCCUUGAUUUACUAAUAAAGAACAACUUGUGUAUAAUAAAACACUGUCCAAUGUACUGAUCAAUAAAAUCAAUGAAAAAAUCAGUCUAAGCACCACAAAAUUUUGCCUGAUUAUAUCUGACAGACAUAAUACACUUUAGCACCAUUGAGUCAACCUUGCAUUUGCACACAAACUCUGUGUUUGUCAGUAGAAGCUACCUGAAAGAAUAACAUAUGUCAGUUAUAAAAAUAUUAUGGUAUAGAAUGCUGUGUGAGCAAUAGAAUAAAAUAAAAUAACAAUCAUGAAAAAAAAUUUAGUUAGAGAAAGCAAGUAAAAAUGCUCCAGUUAUUUUGUUGCCAAUACAGAACAUAAUGAGCAAAACUCCGGCAUGAAAUGCAUGUGGGGCUAUGCAGCAAAACCAGAAUAAGGUGGGAAAAUGUGCAGCACAUGCUGAGAUCGUUAUUCUGGCUUAUUUGUAGGGCUAUCUAAAGUCACAUGACCAGUGCAGCGUAUGGUUCAGGGUGCAAAGCUUGAAAAGAGUUUUGGUUUGUCCAAAUGUGGAUUAUGUCAUGCCUAAAAACCCAUCUAACAUAGUCUAAGCCUAAGUAUUGCACCAAAACCCAUGUAUGCACAUGAAAACCCCAUUCAUACAUCUUAUUCUAUUUCAAAGGUGGAGUAAAGUGAGCACACAGCAAUAUAGAAAGGGCCACUAAGUUGUAAUAUGGACUUCAUAACAUAAUGGGACCAAAUCAGUUUCUACAGCAAGUAUAGACAACAGCUAAUGGCAGAAAGAAGUGCUAUUUAGAUGGAAAUCUGAAAAGGCUACUGAGAUCAGAACCAACAUAGAAUCACUCGAACCGAAGCAGCAAUUGAGUUAUUGCGGCUACUAGGGCACAAAGCACGGAGAGUAAGCAGGAUGCAUGGCAUUCAGGAGAAAGAACAGUUGAAACAAGAUCUGUACGAAGCAUCAAAUACAACGUACCCUGAGCAGUGUAUGCUUGCCAACAUACUAGGGAAAACAGCCCCAGAAUCAGAUGCUUUAGCAACUGACAGCACUAACCACAGACCUGGCAAGGCGCAGACAUCCCCCCCCCGCACCACUCGGCAAUGGCUUCUGUGUGAACAAGCACAUCUCUCUCACACAACAGACCUAUAAUGUCCAAAUACGUGACUCUCCCUGAAAGCCAUAAGUUACACUUCCAGGGUUUUAAACCCUGUGCAUGAUAGCAUAUGUUACAGAGACCUGUGCAUAAAUGUGCUAUGAAUAGGUAUGAGUUAGUGGAGAUUGGAAAUAAGAUAGUAACACGAUGCUUAGGAAAGGGUCCCACUAUUUAAUAAUGUUGGCUCAAUAAAUUAUGAUACAAGGCUGGUGGAUAUGUGUGAAUGAGCUGAGGUGUCAGAAAUAAAAUACUCCAACACCUCAAUAGUGUAAAUGUAGAUUAUCUACUCUCAAGAAGAAAAAAUAACAUUAGAAGGAGAAAACGUUAAUCACAACAUUUGCAGCUGCCAAGUAUUGGUAGCAUGAUAGAAAUGAUGGGCGUAUGUGCAGAACAAUGCUAGCAUUGUUGAAAUACAGCCGCCUGGACAGCUCAGCCAUCACAGCGUGAACACGUGUGGACAAUGCACAUGGGCUGACACCAAGAUAAUACACUACCACUGUAACACCAUUCACAAAAGAUGUACAAAACCAGAUGUGAUAAUCUGAGCAAGCAGUUUGUGAUGCGUACUGCAGGCUGUGCAAACAUUUUUAUCCACAGUUUAGGAAAGAAGCAAUGGGCAAUGGUUGAGGGAGACUUUAAAAAUCAUGCCUGAAUACCCGAAAGCUUGACUGUCCAUGUGAAUAUAAGGAUGCAGCAAAUCAACCCUGUGGAUAAGAAAGAUUGAAAUACUAAAAUUAAAUGUGUAAAAGAUGUUGAUGUUGUCUAGCGUCAUUUUAGUGAAAGGUGUGCACAAGAUGCCUCAAGUAUGCACAUGGAAUGACUCAAAUAAUCGUAGCCACCAUCACAUCAGCAAUAGACACAAAAGGGGUGGAUUUCCUUGUGAUUGAUUGCAACUGUGGGUGUCUGUGUCAGAUUGACCAAUGAGACAUGGACAACAACAUUUUAACACCUGUUCCCAGUCCACAUAGUUCAUUUGUUACUGCUUGCUAUUCUAGCUAAAGCAGAGAACAUUAGGCACCACCCUUUUCAGUAGGAAACUCACAAUGAAGAGAAAUGAUGGAUCAGAGGCUUAUAUCAGCAUACAUGGAGAAACAAGCAAUUCAUCCAGUAAUGGUAGCCAUGCUUCUAUGUAUCACAGAAACAUAUCAUACACUGUGGCUGUCAUGGAGGCAAAGAAGUGUUUCUUCUCUUCCAUCAUAACACCUGAGAAGUCUUAUCCAGUGGAGCUGUUCACAUGGCAGAAAAUGCAAGUGAAUCUAGGAUGCCAUCAUCUGAAAAUAGAGUUGAGUACUUUUCACUGUGACAAAUUGGAUUGGAUUCAGAGUGGUUUUACCAUAUCUAUGAGGAAAGAUGAAUGCUAUGUUAUCUCUGGUAGAUUUUCAAUUGGUUUUAUUGAUUGAGAGGGCAGGGUUCCAGUGUCACUAAGACAAGCCAUCACUAGGCCCUUGCACAAGAAACCUUUGACCUUGAUUAUCUCUCUAUCACAUUUUCUCUAGCCUAUUCUUUUUGGAGUAAGGUUACGGAGACUGGUUGAAGGCAAUUCUGGGUGCACCUAGAAUCCUAGGUCUCCUCUAUUCCAGUGAAACUGCUUUCAGGUUUGGGUAUAGAGACUGACCUGUUCUCAUUUGUUAUUGGUAUCUCCUCCUAGAGAUGAACAGUGGUCAGGUGCCUAUACAUAUACUGUUAUAUCUCUUAGUAACCUUUAAUCAGGAGGUUGACUCAACUGUGGUUACUGGCAGUGGUGGAAGGGAUUCCUCAUGAAUAAUUUUAAUUAUUUCCUUUAUGAGAGAUGUAAGUGGGUGGUGCUGGGUAACUGCAUUUGUCCUCACUGUGAGCCAAGGAAUGCCUCUGGCAAAGCCAACAUAUACAAAGAAGGUGAGAGCCCAUAUAUUUUGGACAAUGUAAAGAAGGACCACGGACACAGAUAUAAUCAGUGCAAUGGUUUUCAUCCUUACAUAGUAAAACAGAAAUACUGAGUUACAUUACGACUCAGAUGUUUAAAUGGUGAAUUGAGAGGAGAUAGCCUCAUGGCAUUGGAACUGUGCAUUAAAGAUUGUAGUAAAUAGGUACUAGACACUUAGUUAAUAGAAGAUGUUUUAUCAAAUGUAUUAUAUAGAGGAAAAGGUGAAGAAUGAAUGUAAAUGAUGUAUAACUGAUUGACACCAUUGCAGGCUUGUUGAGUACUGGAUUCCUUUCCUAACUAAACAUGCAUGCUCAACAUGAGGAUGAUGGUUGCAUGGGUAUAACUUCAUAUCCGUCUGAUAUUUCAGAUCACCAUGGAUAUUGACAAGCAAUGAACUCUGACAGGACAUGGCCAUGUAGAGUUAUACUAGGGGUAUCAUCUAGCUUUUGGCACAUGGCCAAGUCAUAAUUUGGUAGCAAUUGUUUACCUGCAUACAGUAGUAAGCUGGCAGGUAUGUUGACAAAAACCAGAAUCUGUAUCACACAUAGCAGUGAAUAGCAGAGUUUGACAAGAUCAGUUAAAACGGCAGAUGAUCAUGGUAACACAGCAGCACUACCAGCUGUUGGCAAUGCCUACUGAAUGUAUCUCAUCGAGAGAUUCUUCCUCUGAAAGCAUUUAUCCAUGUAUACCUCCAGACAUCUGACAAAAAGGGAAUCAAAUCUAUUGGUGGCGCCAAUAUGUAAUCGAGAAGAGCAUCCACUGUUAUUAUGCCAGUAUCCAAGAAGAGCACAUAUGCUGAGCAUAACCGUUUGCAUUCAGAUUCAUCACAUGCAUAGAUUUGGGAUUGUCUAGUUAUUAGUCAGGAUAUGCAGUCCUAUAAUACUGCUUGCUGGGAUAUGCCCAAAUAUCAUGUAAUGGUGCACACUGGAAAACUCAAGAGCACUAUCAGCAAUCACUUUAUAUUGCUGACUAUGCUACCACAGCUCAUACCUGAGCAUAGUAAUGGCAGUAGUGGAUUCAUAAUUUGUUCAUAUAGCACAGUAAUUAGCUUGACAUGCACAUAUGUAUGUUUUUAGGGUGACUGUCAGUUCAUCACAUGGAUACAAACUCGUGGUUUAUGGGAGUGUAGGCAAAUGUGUCUCAUCAGGACAAGAGCUGCAUUAUGCGAGCACACUGGAAUGAUAAUGCAAGCAGAAAAUUAUUAUAUGACUUCACACCCCAAUGCUUGCAAGUGCUUAACCAUUACGGGAAUGGUACUAAUUUGCAGGUAUAUAUUAUGCUUUGCCUGCUGAGUGAAAGAUGAAGUGCUUCAUCCAAGUCACUGAUAAAUGUGGGUUUAUGCUGGUGAGGGUCAAUGACCAGUUGUGUAUAGAAUUGUGAUGUGACUAUCUAACCUCGGCAUCAUGUUGAAACAAAAGGGAACCAUAACUGACAACUGUAUUGUGUAAACCACAUGUGAGGAAGGAUGUUGAUGAACAUACCAUUUGAGGGAUGUCAUGGAUUCAGCAUGAUCACUAUUUCUGCACUAGUAUCACAUGAUGAAAUAUGGCAACUUAUCACUGUGCACUAUUGUAACAGCAAGAGGUGACUAGGUGACUAAGAUUGUGAAUUCAGGUUUGUCCCUGAAUAUGGGAAAAAACAGAGACUGGCUGGUGUGCGACCAUGUGCCACUGCUGGUGAUUGAAUGGGGCAGCAAUUAUGAAAGAGGUGGUAUGUGGUUUGAUAGGGACAUGUGGUUCAAUGGGUUUAGGGUCAUUGUUGACUAAUCAGGGCUUUACAGUUAAUAUGGAUCACUCACCAUGAUAAUAGUUUGUGAAUGCUGUCAUUCUCCAUAGGUUUAUGAAUUCAUGCUGCCUGACUGCAAGGCUGAUGUAUAUCAACAAUAAUGGCUACAUUGUGUAACACUUAAUCAUGUAUGGGUUUUUGCUGUGGUGGCAAUUCACACUAUAGAACAUACAUAGAGAACGGUGGAUAGCUUUUUCUUUAGGAUGUCAUCCUUGUUUCUGCAGCUAUCACUUGCACAGGUUUCAUUAUUCUGUAGCAUUCCCUUGUCUGUCUACACAUUACAGCAGUGUACAAUGGUGUCUACAACCAUGUCUACACACUGUAUAUGUCAUAUACUCAUCUCAUAUACUAUGGGAUGAGAUAUAAGUAUACAUAGCAUCUGUGAAUGCACACAUAAACAUUGAUGAAAUGAAGACAAUUGGUGACUGAUAUGCUACAGCUUCUCUGCGUUAGGAAAACAAGAAUUUUAUAUCAUGUAUCCAUGGUUAGCAUAGUGUUAAUCAAUACUUUGGAACAAUGUUCUAAGGUAGUGCCAAUAUUUACUUGCAAUGAUCAUGUAUUAAUGUUACUCAAACAUCUGGAACCCUAUUUAUUAGUGAGCUAUUCCUUCUACAUAUUCAUCUAUAAAAUAACAUUGUGCCAUAUGGAAUCUAUAUUGUAUGAUACUAGAUGGCCCCAGGGUCAGCUGUUGCAUGGGGUCAGCCAUUGAAGUCUAUGAUGGUGAUAAGCUGAUUAUGACUGUUAUAUGAGCUCAGUUGCUUUGUGCCAGCUGGUAGGCAAAGCACAAAAGUGGAUUAGAGAAAUAGGAACAUGAUCAUGUACUGCCAAGGUAUUUUGUCAUGAGAACAUUGAGGGAUACUGUGAUGACUUUCAUGGACAUACAGAGAUGGUUACUUUUAUGUAUAUAUGAUGUACUUUGGCUGUGUUUUUGCCCCUGACAUGGCUCCAUGUAAUCAGCCUCACCUCAAAAUAACAUAACCACUAUUUUGAUCCCACAAUCAGAACGCUAUGAACGAAUAGAGUGUGUUGAGUGUUACAACAGUGAGGUGUCAGUCAUGCUUUUAUCACUACACUAUCUGUGCUCUAUCAUUUCUUUAGUACACACAUAGGGACUAUUUGCUUUACAGCACAGUUCAACACCCAACUAGACAGGUGGUCAUUUGCACCUUCCACUGAUGAAGGUGCCAUUCUAUGGUGAUUGUUCUGCUGAAAUAAUUCAUUCAAGGGGCUGGAAGCACAGCAGCCAAAAGGUAGACAGGGCCACAAACACAGAUAAAAGGCAGAUACUGAUCCCAGACUUGUCUCCUUCCCCUCUCCUACUGCCUGUAUGACUGAGGCGGUUCUGGCUGUGCAUAGCUUCCUCCACCUCUGGAGCCACUAGCAGAUAGGUCAAGCCUGACUUUGAAUGGGAUAUAGGACCCAAAACAAAACAAGAACCCUGAGCUGUUUCCUUGUUUCAGUCUGUUCCUCUUUGCAUGGUUCCAACUUGUGCCUCUAUGUGUGUGGUGGUUUAGGUCCCUACUUGCUUUAAUACAUAAUGAAUGGAACAUGCACUGUUUGAUCUUCAUUAUUUGAUUAUGUGUCUUUUCAAGCCAUUCCCCCACUAAUAAUACAAAUGUGAAAAGCUAGAAUGAGAGUGUAAUGUUCCACUGUUUAUAGGCACACCUAUUUUUCUGCUCUAUGCACUUUUUCCUACCAACAAGCCAGAAUUUGAUUCCAUAUAUUUAACUAAAUACCAAAAGCUGCAUUUAACUAACAUCAGGACUGCAUUUAACUAACAUCAUAAGCCAACAAAAGCCAAGGAAUUCAGAGUUAAGUCUUACACUCUAUUCUUAACCCACAAUAUUAUAAAAUCAGGGGUUCUGGGAUGGGCGGGUGGCAGAGGGGAUGCACACACACACUGCUGUGGGACAAGGGAAGUUUGGUCCUCCAUUUUGAAAUUUCCUGGUUUUCAUCAAUGUUUCACAAUCUUAACCUUUUUUUUAACCUACUCCCCAAC